rnacentral:rRNA from 1 species
AGUGGCAGACGGGUGCGUAACGCGCGGGAACCUGCCCUUUAGUAAGGAAUAACUUUAGGAAACUGAAGCUAAUACCUUAUAAUCCCUUCGGGGGAAAGCUCUAUGCGCUAAUGGAUGGGCCCGCGUUAGAUUAGCUUGUUGGUGAGGUAAAGGCUCACCAAGGCUACGAUCUAUAGCUGGUCUGAGAGGAUGAUCAGCCACACUGGGACUGAGACACGGCCCAGACUCCUACGGGAGGCAGCAGUGGGGAAUAUUGGACAAUGGGGGCAACCCUGAUCCAGCGAUGCCGCGUGAGUGAUGAAGGCCCUAGGGUUGUAAAACUCUUUCGCCAGGGAAGAUAAUGACGGUACCUGGUAAAGAAGAUCCGGCUAACUCCGUGCCAGCAGCCGCGGUAAUACGGAGGGAUCUAGCGUUAUUCGGAAUAACUGGGCGUAAAGCGAGCGUAGGCGGAUUUGUAAGUUGGAGGUGAAAUCCCAGGGCUUAACCCUGGAACUGCCUUCAAAACUACAUUUCUUGAGUUUGGUAGAGGAGAGUGGAAUUCCUAGUGUAGAGGUGAAAUUCGUAGAUAUUAGGAGGAACACCAGUGGCGAAGGCGACUCUCUGGGCCAAUACUGACGCUGAGGUUCGAAAGCGUGGGUAGCGAACAGGAUUAGAUACCCUGGUAGUCCACGCAGUAAACGAUGAGUGCUAGAUGUUGGGAACAUUAGUUUUCAGUAUCGC